rnacentral:rRNA from 1 species
UACGUAGGGGGCAAGCGUUGUCCGGAAUCAUUGGGCGUAAAGAGCGUGUAGGCGGCCUGGUAAGUCCGCUGUGAAAGUCCAGGGCUCAACCCUGGAAUGCCAGUGGAAACUGUCAGGCUCGAGUCCGGAAGAGGCGAGUGGAAUUCCUGGUGUAGCGGUGAAAUGCGCAGAUAUCAGGAGGAACACCAAUGGCGAAGGCAGCUCGCUGGGACGGUACUGACGCUGAGACGCGAAAGCGUGGGGAGCAAACAGG